AGCUGCACGGCUGAGGAAGGCAGCGACGCAGAGCCUGGGAACGUGGCUUGUUCGGACGGCGGCGCGGAAGGCGACAGGGCGAAGCCAGCUCCAGCCGCAGCUUUCAGCAAACGGCCGGUUUUAUUCAGCUGUCUCCCAUCAUGUCAAACAUCCCUCUCCAAAAAUUCAAGAGGCCUGGCCAGCUGUGGGGAAGGAGGACCAGUGAUCAUAACAGUUUAUUCCUGGAAAAAGGAGAUCUCCACCUCUCAUUUUAUUGCAAAAUGAAACUUCAGGAGGACUUAGCAAUGCGGGUUUUGCAAUAGAAGCCCAGAAGCCUGAACCACCAAGGCCUGACAAAACGUGCUGUGUCAGGAAUUAGAAGAUGGAAAUGAAAACUGAUUCAGAAUGAAGAUGAGAAAACCCUUCCAGAACUUCAACUCAACCAGUUCUGAAGAGUUUGUAAGA